UCCGAUAUGGUCUAAUGGCUAGGAUAGCGCUCUUUCAAGACAUUGCUUACUUAAGCAAAUGCGCCCAGCGCGGGUCGGGGUUCGAUUCCCCGUGUCGGAA